rnacentral:snoRNA from 1 species
AAGACUUACUUUCAGGUAUCAUUUUUAUAGUUUGUUACUAGAGAAGUUUCUUUGAACAUGUAGAGAUCUGGAAACCACGAGGAGGAGGCAUAGUGUUCUCUCCUGAGCAUGAAGCUGGCUCUUGGUGUUGCUUUGCUGCAGAUACCAUUUGUCAUUGAUGAUCAUUCUUUUCCUUCAGGAGAGUAAGAGAGAGAGGACAUAGUCUAAGUGGU